rnacentral:rRNA from 1 species
AUUGAACGCUGGCGGCAGGCUUAACACAUGCAAGUCGAGCGAGCGGCGGACGGGUGCGUAAUGUCUGGGAAACUGCCUGAUGGAGGGGGAUAACUACUGGAAACGGUCGCUAAUCCCGCAUACCAUCAGAUGUGCCCCGAUGGGAUUCGCUUGUAGGUGGGGUAAUGGCUCACCUAGGCGACGAUCCCUAGCUGGUCUGAGAGGAUGACCAGCGACACUGGAACUGAGAAACGGUCCAGACGCCUACGGGAGGCAGCAGUGGGGAAGAGUGCACAAUGGGCGCAAGCCUGAUGCAGCCAUGCCGCGUGUGUGAAGAAGGCCUUCGGGUUGUAAAGCACUUUCAGCGAGGAGGCGGUACUCGCAGAAGAAGCACCGGCUAACUCCGUGCCAGCCGCCGCGGUAAUAC